AAGCUAUCGGUUACUGACGCACCCACCAUUUUCAUUCAGUACCUACCGACUACCAGCAGUGUAAAAGUAUACUCGGUACUCAUAGCACGCGUUUGAUUCAUUUAUUGAUAGUAUCGCCGUGUUUAAUCGUAUUCGCAUUCGCACAUUUUUAUUUGUGACAAAUAAAAUAAAUAUUUUAACAAGUGUUUAGUGACUUUUUAUAUGGUUAGGUUAUUAGAUACAGGUACUCUCACUACUUUAACUUCGAAUUAAAAAUGGGGUAACUUGUAAAAAUCGAAUCUUAAAAUAAUUUGAAGCUGGACUGCAAUUUGACAUUAUCCAAACGUUAUUGACAAUUUUUUUGUGUAUUGUGAAAGUGUAAAAAAAGUGGUAGCCAUGUCUUCUAUGAACUAUAUCGGUAAAUUCUUCGCGAAUUUCUACGAAUUUUACAACGAGAUAAAUAGUGCAACGCUGACGGGAGCUAUUGAUGUCGUUGUGGUUGAGCAGCCCGAUGGGAGCUACACCUGCUCUCCGUUCCACGUCCGCUUCGGUAAACUCGGCGUGUUACGCUCCAGGUUUAAAGUGGUCGACUUGGAAUUAAACGGGGAACCACUGAACAUUCACAUGAAGCUAGGUGAGUCUGGCGAGGCGUUUUUUGUAGAAGAAGUGGGCGAGAACGAGGCCGAAUGUGCGGCCCAUCUCGCUACCUCGCCUAUCCCCGCCUCGCGGUUUGACGAAUUAUAUGAACCACGGCGUCGUAACUCGCUGUCCGCUGUCGAGCCCGACCACGGGCAGGCAUCUGACUACACGAAAAGAAGAUACACCGCUGAUGGCAAAUCGAUGCAAAAACCCGACUUAAGUAAAAUAACAAAAAAUAACUUGAAAGACAACAAGAGCAGAAUAAUCGAUCAUGAAAACGAUGCUCUGUUCGAAAUGGACGGUUUAAACGAAGGAUCGUCGGACUGGACUGACUCGAAACCAAAGACCUUCGCAGCCACGCAGCUCGGCGCCGCGGGCAGCGAAGCCAAUCAGACUGUUCAGAAAAUAAGUGAACACAACGAUUUCCGACCCAUCGAUGUGGUGCCAAACCCAGAUGAAUUCAAAUCAAACGGCAACGGCAAGAAGAAAAAGAAGACGAGGAAAGCCAGCUCAAAGAAGAAGCACCAAAGAAAAUCUUCGACUAGUUCAGUUUCUAGUCAAUCUGAUCUCACCGGCUCCGAACAGCGCGGUUCGCAGCCGGCUGCCAUACCCAACGUCACCGAUAUUAACUUUUUUAGUGACUCUGAAAUCGCCUCGGGAACUCUUAGUGAAGAGUUAUCCAACAUGAAGCUGAGUGGUGACAAUCGCAUUCCACUGGCGCUGUCCGACACAGCGUUCGAGGUGCACGCUGCCUCCAGACACUCCAAGGAGUGUUCCGGAACGCCGGUCCAAUCAGACACGGAAAUGGAGCUGGCGCGGGCCGCCGGCACCGGGGACAAGUCCUCGCAGUCGUGGCGAUGGGGGGAACUCCCCGAACCGCCAGUUCGAGGCGCGCAGUCUACUGAAUCUCCCGAGACGCCAGAUUCCCCCGCCUCCCCCGCCGAGCCGGCCUCCCCCACGGAGCCGCUCAGCUCGGACGAGGAGCGCACCGAGCGCGGCGGAGUGCUGAGCGGCAUGUUCCGUUUCAUGUCGAACCGGGAAGCGACCGACAACGCGCCGGAGGGCGUCUACCUCGACGACCUCGAUCGCGGCCAAGUCGAUCCCGACCUGUACUUCCCGAAACAUCACGCGGAACGAUAUCGCUCAGUCGGCGGGAGCGGCGUCACGGGCGGACCGACCGAGGAGGAGUACGAGUCGGGCAACGGCCCGUCGCUCCCGCAGUCGCCCAACUCGCCCGCCUCGCUCGACGCGCCCGCGCUGGACUCCGACGACGACGAGAAGCUCCUCGCCAAGGGGCAGGUGACGGUGAUGGCGCGCGAGGGCCCGGUGUCGCGCGCGUUGAGCUUCGAGGAGUUCUGCGAGCGCGGCGCGUCGCUGGCGGGCGCGGAGCGGCUGGAGGUGCGGCUGGGCGCGCGCCGCCUGCCGUGGCGCAGCGCCGGCCCGCUGCUGCUGUCGCUGCUGGCCUACCGCCGCCCGCUGCCCACCAGAGUGAUGGAGGAGCUGGAGAAAGGCGAGAAGGAGGACACGCAGAUCAAUCGCGGAGUGGACGAGGCGAAACCGCGGUACUCGUGGUGGAGCUGGCGGAGAUCCAACCAGGAUAAAAGAUCUGAAUCAUCACAACCUAAAGAUGAAGAUAUCAAGGAUUCAACGGCAUUACAAAUUGAAGCUUCGACCAAAACAAUAAUAGCUAAAGCCGAAUCGACGGACGAGGAUCAGUUGGAUCAUUGGGUCGAAGAGAAAAUUGAUAAGCCAAAAGAGGUUCCCGUGAUGGAAGAAGCACCGAAGCCUGAAGUCACUAUUGAACCUCGGGAAUCUACUCCAAUUAUGCCUAAAAAUCAAAUAUCAGGCAGCCAACACGACCACAGCUCGUCUGAGUCGGAUCAGGAGAGCCAUCAGAAUGGUUCUCGCCGGACGUCCACCUUCCGCAAGACUCUACGUCUGUCGUCUGAACAGAUUAAGGAGCUGAACCUGCGGGACGGCAUGAACGAGAUGGUGUUCAGCGUGACGACGGCGUACCAGGGCACCACGCGCUGCAAGUGCAACGUGUUCCGCUGGCGGUACGACGACAAGAUCGUCAUCUCCGACAUCGACGGCACCAUUACCAAAUCAGACGUGCUGGGUCAUAUAUUCCCACUGGUGGGCAAAGACUGGGCGCAAUCGGGCGUGGCGCAGCUCUUUACCAAGAUCAAGAACAACGGUUACCAGCUGCUCUACCUGUCCGCGCGAGCUAUCGGCCAAGCCAGGGUAACCAGAGAAUAUCUGAGGUCUAUCAGACAAGGCGAGCUUUGUCUACCGGACGGACCACUGUUAUUGAACCCCACGUCGCUACUGCGCGCAUUCCACAGAGAGGUCAUUGAGAAAAAGCCUGAAGAGUUUAAGAUACAAUGUUUAGCUGACAUUAAAGCGCUGUUCCCGUCUGGCUCAAAUCCCUUCUAUGCCGGUUAUGGCAACAGGGUCAACGAUGUUUGCGCAUAUCAAGCUGUCGGCAUCCCAAUAGUGAGAAUAUUCACUAUCAACUACAAGGGUGAACUCAAGCACGAACUGACUCAGACAUUCCAAUCGACUUACCACGUGCAAAGUGACAUGGUCGAUGAUUUCUUCCCGCCAAUGAAACGUGAUAAAAUUAUUAGCUAGCGCGAUUUGUAGAUCUUUAAUGUAGUAUUGAGUUGAAAGGAUUUAUGAAGCGUACACCGUUUCCGGUACUCCCACAUGUCGGUGCUGGUGGACCAGGUGUUCCCGCCGGCGCUGUGCGAGCCCAGCGACGAGUUCUCGCAGAGCGUGUACUGGCGCGAGCCGCUGCCGACGCUGGCGCUGCCGCCCGCCGCGCCUCCGCCCGCCAAGCACUAGCCGCCCGCCAGCCGCCAGCCAGCUGCCAGUCAGCUUCGGUCGGGGACUGUUCUACAUAACUGUGCAUUGUAGAUUGUCAGAUAUGCUAUUUCUUAAUUGAAGGAGAUGGAUUUAAAACUUUUGAAUACGAUUGCAUUUUCUUGAUUCUGGUGAUCGAUGAGCGCCAAUUCAAAACGAGGACUAGCUUACGAUAGGUGUAUGGAUGUUUGUUGCUUCAUUCUGUAGCAUUGUCGGUGUGCACGUUAAAAGGUAGCUUAGGUAAUUCCGUAGUGGACAAGAUAUGCUUUAAAUGAAUGUGUAAUGCACGGCUCAUUAGAGAUAAGUUUGGUAGUUAUUCCAUAUUUAUAUUAAGGUCACUGAAAACAGCAUCCUCACCGCAAAUAAUUUGCAAUAUUAUGUUGAAUAAUUAGUUACCGUUGUAUUUAAAUAUGUAUGGUAUACAUAAGUUGGGCAUGACAAUUUAUUAUUACAUUUUAUUCAAUUAUUAUACCUAUGGGACACACAUUAAACUUGCUGUGAUAUACAGUGAUCUCAAGCUCACACCAAUAUCACUAAGGGGGUUUCGUCGCUUUGCGCUAUGAUAAUAUUAAUAUAUUUUUACUACACUAGUGAAAUUGUAAUCUUACCCUGAGUUCCUUACCAGUUACGUUACUUUUACUGAAUUACUCUCGAACAUGGAAAUAGCUAUAUUUACUUUGUUGUCAGCAUAUUUAUUACAAAACUUUAAAUGGUUAAUUUUGAUCAUAUGAAUUGCAUUCUUAUUUUACUAACUGCAAGACGUUAGAUGAUUAUUUUGCUAAAUAUAGUUAUAGUCUGUGAUGCUGAUUGAAGGAGCAAUGCUUUACUUUUGUACUGUGAUUAUAUGUUUGUAUGUAAGUUACUUUGUGUUAUGAUAAACACAAACAUAAUUAUAACUUUCCCAUUAAGGCAAAGCCUUUUAUUAAAAUAUGAGUAGUUUAUUUUUGUAUAAAUAUAAUUAGAAUGCUUAUUAUAUUUGCUUUGUAAUGUAUUAUUUAAAUUAGUUAUUAAUUAUUGAUCACACAACAGGAUCGCUGGUGUAAUCUGAUUAAUUUAGAAUGUAAUUUUAUGAAUAUAAUUUAUUACCACUGUGAUUAUUAAACAUAUUUGUUUGAAAAUGA